rnacentral:tRNA from 1 species
GCCACGGUCGCAUAGCUCGGUAUUGCGCAGGAUUGCUAAUCCUGUGGGCCUAGCCCAUCGCUGGUUCAAAUCCGGCCCGUGGCG